rnacentral:rRNA from 1 species
CAGGACGAACGCUGGCGGCGUGCUUAACACAUGCAAGUCGAGCGGUAAGGCCCUUUCGGGGGUACACGAGCGGCGAACGGGUGAGUAACACGUGAGCAAUCUGCCCUUCACUUCGGGAUAAGCCUCGGAAACGGGGUCUAAUACCGGAUAUGACCGCGCUACGCAUGUGGUGUGGUGGAAAGUUCUGGCGGUGGAGGAUGAGCUCGCGGCCUAUCAGCUUGUUGGUGGGGUAAUGGCCUACCAAGGCUUCGACGGGUAGCCGGCCUGAGAGGGUGACCGGCCAC